AUGUACAUUCCUACAACAUAUUGUUAAUGCACUGGAUCCCAUUAGAACUCCACAGUUAAGCACGCUCGGGCUAGAGUAGUACUGGGAUGGGUGACUGCUCGGGAAUUCCUAGUAUUUUACAUG
rnacentral:rRNA from 1 species